CCUACGGGCGGCUGCAGUGAGGAAUAUUGGUCAAUGGCCGUAAGGCUGAACCAGCCAAGUAGCGUGAGGGAAGACUGCCCUAUGGGUUGUAAACCUCUUUUAUGCGGGGAUACAGGUGUCCACGUGUGGAUGUUUGCAGGUACCGCAUGAAUAAGGACAGGCUAAUUCCGUGCUAGCCGCCGCGGUAAUACGGAAGGUCCGAGCGUUAUCCGGAUUUAUUGGGUUUAAAGGGAGCGUAGAGGGGUUGUUAAGUCAGUUGUGAAAGCUAGCGGCUCAACCGUAAAAUUGCAAUUGAUACUGGCAGACUGGAGUACAGUUGAGGUAGGCGGAAUUCGUGGUGUAGCGGUGAAAUGCUUAGAUAUCACGAAGAACACCGAUUGCGAAGGCAGCUUACUAAACUGCCACUGACAUUGAUGCGCGAAAGUGUGGGUAGCAAACAGGAUUAGAUACCCUUGUAGUC
rnacentral:rRNA from 1 species